UGAGGUAUUCAGAUACUCUGCCUUUAUCUC
rnacentral:piRNA from 1 species